rnacentral:rRNA from 1 species
AGACCCGAAACCCGGUGAUCUAGCCAUGGGCAGGUUGAAGGUUGGGUAACACUAACUGGAGGACCGAACCGACUAAUGUUGAAAAAUUAGCGGAUGACCUGUGGCUGGGGGUGAAAGGCCAAUCAAACCGGGAGAUAGCUGGUUCUCCCCGAAAGCUAUUUAGGUAGCGCCUCGUGAAUUCAUCUCCGGGGGUAGAGCACUGUUUCGGCUAGGGGGCCAUCCCGGCUUACCAACCCGAUGCAAACUGCGAAUACCGGAGAAUGUUAUCACGGGAGACACACGGCGGGUGCUAACGUCCGUCGUGAAGAGGGAAACAACCCAGACCGCCAGCUAAGGUCCCAAAGUCAUGGUUAAGUGGGAAACGAUGUGGGAAGGCCCAGACAGCCAGGAUGUUGGCUUAGAAGCAGCCAUCAUUUAAAGAAAGCGUAAUAGCUCACUGGUCGAGUCGGCCUGCGCGGAAGAUGUAACGGGGCUAAACCAUGCACCGAAGCUGCGGCAGCGAACGUAUCACCCAAGACAACUUUACGGAGUUGACGAUUGACGGAGCGAAGCGACGUCAAAGCGUUCAUUAAAGUCGAGUUGGCUUAGGGAUACGUUCGUUGGGUAGGGGAGCGUUCUGUAAGCCUGUGAAGGUGUGUCGUGAGGCAUGCUGGAGGUAUCAGAAGUGCGAAUGCUGACAUAAGUAACGAUAAAGCGGGUGAAAAGCCCGCUCGCCGGAAGACCAAGGGUUCCUGUCCAACGUUAAUCGGGGCAGGGUGAGUCGACCCCUAAGGCGAGGCCGAAAGGCGUAGUCGAUGGGAAACGGGUUAAUAUUCCCGUACUUGGUGUUACUGCGAAGGGGGGACGGAGAAGGCUAUGUUGGCCGGGCGACGGUUGUCCCGGUUUAAGCGUGUAGGUGUGUGUUCCAGGUAAAUCCGGUUCACUUUAACACUGAGGCGUGACGACGAGGCACUACGGUGCUGAAGCAACAAAUGCCCUGCUUCCAGGAAAAGCCUCUAAGCAUCAGGUAACACGAAAUCGUACCCCAAACCGACACAGGUGGUCAGGUAGAGAAUACCAAGGCGCUUGAGAGAACUCGGGUGAAGGAACUAGGCAAAAUGGUGCCGUAACUUCGGGAGAAGGCACGCUGACACGUAGGUGAAGUGAUUUACUCAUGGAGCUGAAGUCAGUCGAAGAUACCAGCUGGCUGCAACUGUUUAUUAAAAACACAGCACUGUGCAAACACGAAAGUGGACGUAUACGGUGUGACGCCUGCCCGGUGCCGGAAGGUUAAUUGAUGGGGUCAGCGUAAGCGAAGCUCCUGAUCGAAGCCCCGGUAAACGGCGGCCGUAACUAUAACGGUCCUAAGGUAGCGAAAUUCCUUGUCGGGUAAGUUCCGACCUGCACGAAUGGCGUAAUGAUGGCCAGGCUGUCUCCACCCGAGACUCAGUGAAAUUGAACUCGCUGUGAAGAUGCAGUGUACCCGCGGCAAGACGGAAAGACCCCGUGAACCUUUACUAUAGCUUGACACUGAACAUUGAGCCUUGAUGUGUAGGAUAGGUGGGAGGCUUUGAAGUGUGGACGCCAGUCUGCAUGGAGCCGACCUUGAAAUACCACCCUUUAAUGUUUGAUGUUCUAACGUGGACCCGUAAUCCGGGUUGCGGACAGUGUCUGGUGGGUAGUUUGACUGGGGCGGUCUCCUCCUAAAGAGUAACGGAGGAGCACGAAGGUUGGCUAAUCCUGGUCGGACAUCAGGAGGUUAGUGCAAUGGCAUAAGCCAGCUUGACUGCGAGCGUGACGGCGCGAGCAGGUGCGAAAGCAGGUCAUAGUGAUCCGGUGGUUCUGAAUGGAAGGGCCAUCGCUCAACGGAUAAAAGGUACUCCGGGGAUAACAGGCUGAUACCGCCCAAGAGUUCAUAUCGACGGCGGUGUUUGGCACCUCGAUGUCGGCUCAUCACAUCCUGGGGCUGAAGUAGGUCCCAAGGGUAUGGCUGUUCGCCAUUUAAAGUGGUACGCGAGCUGGGUUUAGAACGUCGUGAGACAGUUCGGUCCCUAUCUGCCGUGGGCGCUGGAGAACUGAGGGGGGCUGCUCCUAGUACGAGAGGACCGGAGUGGACGCAUCACUGGUGUUCGGGUUGUCAUGCCAAUGGCACUGCCCGGUAGCUAAAUGCGGAAGAGAUAAGUGCUGAAAGCAUCUAAGCACGAAACUUGCCCCGAGAUGAGUUCUCCCUGAGACUUAGAGUCUCCUGAAGGAACGUUGAAGACG